GCUGGGCACGGUGGCGCACACCUGUAAUCCCAGCGGCUCAGGAGGCUGAGGCGGGAGGAUUGCAAGUUCAAAGUCAGCUUCAGCAACUAAGUGAGGUCCUGAGCAACUCAGUGAGACCCUGUCUCUA
rnacentral:sRNA from 1 species